rnacentral:hammerhead_ribozyme from 1 species
GUACUGUUGAAGAGUCCCAGACCAGGGUGAAACAGCCGUCCAGUAC